CAUCAACGAAGGAAUAAAACAAACAUGAAGACAUUAUUAUAAGGGCACAGCCGAACAGCUCACGUUACACAGUCAGAGUCGAUGAAUUGCUUAAUGUAAGCAAGCAAUGCAUGACUGUUCUCUUCCUAAGUGAAAAAGCCUUGCAUGAGAGGAUAGUAUUUAUCAUAGAGCAACAUGCAUGCAUGAGGAAUGUUUUACCAUAUAAUUGCAUUAACCGAAUUUCAUAAUCUUGAGGCAAUUGAUACCAAGUCAUUCGUAAAUGACAACCGUGCCCCCUUAUGUUGCAAGAUGCCUUGUUUUGGGUUUUGUGGUUGGUCUUGUAUUGCUAUUGGAUUGGUUGUUGCCCGGAACUAAUAAUUCAAGGAGUUUGAUUUCACACCUGCAAGUUGACGAUGGUGGCAACACACCAUUGGAGAUCCAAGUGACGGGACAAUGACGAACGAGCAUCAGAGGAGCUCUAGCUAAGCGAUUGUGAUGUAGAAGAUCACGAACAAUAAACUUGAAAAAGGAGACAGUCGGAUAUGAUCACCCGGGGAACUUCACGUGCAAAUAACCCAAAACCUCAUACGUCGAGGAAGCCAUUUUGAGCUUAUUACAGUCAGCCUUGGCAGAGACCUAAACUGAUGAAGCUAUUCACCUCUCGGAUUCAUCAUCAGCCGAUGAAGCGAACGACUCUCUGCCCUGCUCCUUCCAUCUUCUCCUUCUUCUUCCCGCUUCCGCUUUGAUCUCCAGCGAGCCAUCAUCCCUUUCCGUUCUCCGUCACCCUUAUCUCCGUUUCUUGUCUCGCGGUCGUCGGAGGUUUCGUUCGAUCCCUGGCUCCCAUUCAGACGACCCGAACCGGCUCUUGAGUUACGUGAGGAAUAAUUGCAGAGCUGGUGGGUUCGCGAGUGUUGAUGAUGCCUUGUUUUGCUUCGGUAAAAUGAUGCAGACGAACCCUUUGCCUUCCUCCAGGGAUUUCAGUCUUCUGUUGGGUGCUGUAGUGAGGAUGAAGCGCUACUCCACUGCCAUCGGGUUGAUUGAGCAGCUGCGUUCGUUGGGGAUUGAAGAUGAUCAUUUUCUGACGAUUUCCCUGAACUGCUUUUGCCGGUUAAGGCGGGUUGAUUUGGGUUUGUCUAUCCUGGGUCGUAUCUUGAAGCUUGGGUUUCCCAUCAAUGUCGUGACAUCGAACACCCUGAUUGAUGGCCUCUUUAUUCAGGGCAAAACUGAUCAAGCCUUGAAGUUCCUCCAUGAUAUGCAAGGAAAAGGCCCCGAACCGGAUGAGACCACGUAUGCGAUAAUCGCGAAGGGGUUAUGCAGGGCGGGUAAAACCAGAUUGGCUAUUGAAUUGCUAAGGGACUGGGAAGAGAGAAGCUGCAGGCUCAAUUCCUUCACAUACAACAUAGUAAUUGAUGGUCUUUGCAAGGAGGGAUUGAUGACUGAGGCCUUGAGACUUAAUGAAGGUAUGAGUAGAAAAGGCAUCAAACGAGAUGUUGUUACUUAUAACUCCUUGAUCCAUGGUCUGUGCAAUGUAGGCCAGAUGGAAGACGCUCUGGCAUUGUUGGAAGAGAUGAUGAGCGGAGGUAUCCAACCUGACUUAUUCACUUAUAGCUCAUUAGUUCAUUGCUUAUGCAACCUAGGCCAAUGGAAAGAAGCUACAAUCUUGUUGGAGAAGAUGAGAAAGGCAGGAAUUGAACCGGAUGUAGUUACUUAUACCUCUGUCAUUCAAGGAGUGUGCAAUUCCGGCCAAUUGAAAGAGGCUCAGAGACUGCUGAGUCAUAUGGUGGAAAGCAGAGUAAUGCCAAACGUUCAAACCUUUACUAUUCUGGUGGAUGCACAUUGUAAAGAGGGAAUGCUUGAAGAGUCUGAGGCCAUAGUUGAACAGAUGAUUCAAUUAGGUGCAGUGCCUGAUAAUUUCAUCUAUAAUACAUUGAUGAAUGGUUAUUGUUUGCAAAAUAGAAUGAACGAUGCUAUGGAAGUUCUUAAUUUGAUGAUUGAAAGAGGCUGCUCACCUGAUGUUGUUUGUUAUAACACAUUGAUUAACGGAUACUGCAAAGCGAAAAGAGUUGCGAAGUCAACAAUGCUUUUCCGAGAAAUGCUUCAAAGGGGCUUGAUUCCUGAUGUCGUCACAUAUGGCACUCUCGUAAAUGGAUUUUGUCAGGUUGGGAACCUUCGAGCUGCGGAGGAGCUAAUUAACGAGAUGCGGUCUCGCAAUCUAUCUCUAAAUCAUUAUACAUUGAGUGCUAUCCUGGAUGGCUUGUGUAAAACACAACAGAUUGACAAGGCCAUGAUGUUGCUUCGAAAGAUGGAAGAUUGCAAAUUCAUCCCAAACAUUGUGACUUACACUAUUCUAAUAAAUGGCAUGUGCAAUGCCGGAAAGCUUGAGGAUGCUAAGGGGCUGUUUAAUUGUUUGCAUGCUCGAGGGUUGCAACCUGAUGUGUGGACAUAUAAUACUUUCAUGAAUGGAUUGUGCAAAGGAGGACACAUGGAGGAAGCAUAUCAGCUGCUAAAGGAGAUGGAAGCAAAUGGAUGCUUUCCGGAUGGUGUCACUUAUAACACAAUAAUCCAAGGACUACUAAGAGAUAACAAAUGUACAAGGGCAGCGCAACUUAUCAAUGAAAUGGUUGGAAGGGGUUUUUCUGCAAGCAUAGCAACAGCAGAGUUAUGGGUUAAACAUCUCAUGACAAAUGGAACUUCAUCCCUUUCCAGGUGAACUCUCCAUUGCCUCUGAGAUCGGUCCACUUUUUCAGCUGAUAUGUGAUGAAGAGUAAACUAGAUCAAUGGGAAGUUUUAUUCCACACAGCACUUCCUUGAGUCCCUUGUCCCAUUAAUGCAGUUGUUUUAAGCCUGGGAGAUGUUUUCUCUUGCUUCAUUAUAAGGAUUUUGGAUGGGUGGAAGGGGACAGUCAACAAAUUGUGUCACAAAUGCUGAUUAGGCUGUUAUGUAUGCACUUCGAGAGAGAGAUUCUAGUUUUCUUGUAUACUCCUUUCCUAAAACAAUCUGUUCCCUUUGAUGUCCUAUUUAACAGCAGUUACUUCAAGGAAGAUGCAUACGUGGAAAUGAAUGGCAUUUGAUCAUGGUGAUGGGCUCCUUGAAUCAGGUGCAGAGAAUUAUUGUGGCAAGCUGGUGCUCAGAUUAUUGUCGCAGGUCAUGUAUUUAGGUUAUUUGCUCUGCUUCUUACAUGCAAAAUGGCCAAGCUUGAGGAACGGCUGGCUGACAUUAGAACAUGGGUGCAAGUGCAGGAAAACUACUUGCAGUACCUUUUACGUUGCACUGCAAGGGAUUUACAGAAAAGCAUCUGCUGAUGGGGGAACAUGAAUGCCAUGGACGCACAUUCCGAAUGCCAAACUGCAUAGACGUCUGGAGCGGCGCCAUUCAACUUCAUAAAAAAGUCAGGCCCAAAUGAUUUUACUUUCAUCAUCUCUUCUGCUGCAUCAAUUGAGUUACUUUCCUGAUCGAUUGGGUUGGCUCUCCAUGGAGCUACAUUUAUUUGUUUGAAUUACUAAGGAACACAUUUUGCUGUUUGUUUUUGUGUGUUUCACUUACGACAGCAGCAUAUGCCUGGACAGUCUGCCUCUCGUCGUGCCCUCUACUCUUUGUUUCCUGACACAAUCAUAGUAGCGUGCAAGCAUUUGAGAGACCGCUCCUAGAGCUUAGUUCACGUGUGGAUAUCAUGGCUGACACGUUCAAUUGAAGUCGGAACAAGGAACCUGUCAAGCAAGAGGGUCAAAGUGGAGUUCUGCAUAUGCAACGAUAGUAUCAGCUCCUCAGCUCUCUUCUGUUAUUUAAUAAAAGUAGGUUCAUGGGCUGAGCCACUGAAUCUUCAUGUAGCAAAAUUUUUCCACUAAAUGAGACUCAGCUCACUUUGUUUAA